UCCUACGGGAGGCAGCAGUGGGGAAUAUUGCACAAUGGGCGCAAGCCUGAUGCAGCCAUGCCGCGUGUGUGAAGAAGGCCUUCGGGUUGUAGAGCACUUUCAGUCAGGAGGAAAGGUUAGCAGUUAAUACCUGCUAGCUGUGACGUUACUGACAGAAGAAGCACCGGCUAACUCCGUGCCAGCAGCCGCGGUAAU
rnacentral:rRNA from 1 species